GGGGCGGUGGGCGCGCGCGGGGGCUGCCGGGAUCCGCCCGCCCCCCCCCCCCCCCCCCCCAUCCCCUCAUGAUCCACGGGCGGAUCCGCGGGGCGGGAAUCGCCCGGGCGGUCAUGCAGGGACCAAGGCCAGUGGUUCUGAGUGGCCCUUCAGGUGCAGGGAAAAGCACUUUGUUAAAGAAAUUGCUCAAGGAUUACGAGAACAUCUUCGGCUUCAGCGUCUCCCAUACCACAAGGCAGCCAAGACCUGGGGAAGUGAAUGGCAAAGAUUAUCACUUUGUGACCAGGGAGGAAAUGCAGAAGGAGAUCGAUGCCGGGGAAUUCAUCGAGCACGCCGAGUUCUCCGGGAAUAUGUACGGGACAAGUAAAGGUGCUGUGCAGGCUGUGCAGGCCCAGAACCAGAUCUGUGUCCUUGACAUCGACAUCCAGGGCGUGAAGACCAUCAAGAAGACCGACCUGAACCCCAUCUACAUCUCGGUGCAGCCGCCGUCCAUUGACAUCUUGUACAUCAGGCAGUCUCUGGUUCUCGUUGAGCUUGAGGAGGAGGAAGCCAACAGCACCACGUGGCCAGAGCCCAGCAGAGAGAUUUCAUUUCCAGCAGUACCUGGAAAAAUAAAUAAAUAAGAGGGAGGUAAAAAAAAACAAACCCAAAUCCUGGGACCCCGAGCUCCAGGUAGGAGAUGCUGAGCCCAGUUUGGCCACUGGUUUGCACUGGGCUGUAAAUGAGGGUGCAGGGUAUUCUCACGUGCCCAUGGUCACAGACAGCCCUGGCCUGAGGGGGUGGGUGGUGAUUUCUGCCUGCCUUUCAGAACACUUUAUUUUUUUUAAUACAUUUUUCGCUGUGUUUAGGAAAAAAGGCUACGAGACCGAAAGACUGAGACAGAGGAGAGUUUACUGAAGCGUUUGACUGCAGCCCGUGUGGACCUGGAGCUUAGUAAAGAGCCUGGGCUGUUUGACCUGGUCAUUAUUAAUGAUGAUCUAGAAAAAGCCUAUUCUGAAUUGAAGGAAGUGCUGCUGGAGGAAAUCAAGAAGACCCAAGAAUCCAGGAAGUCCUGAGCUGAGCUGACCCUGCUUGGACAUUUCAGUUUUGCACAUCAUUCCCGAAGCAUGUCGCACGGCUUUACUCCAAAAGACAUUCCCUUUAGGCUGCUCCUCCUCCCAGGUUUCCCUAGGAUGUUUAUAUUAAAAGGAAAGAAAAGGAAA